GGGGGGUUGCUCGACAAGCAGUCAUACAUGUUGCAUGACAAAGCAGGUACCUAACCAGCCUGGUGAAACUUCAUUAAGAACCAUCGUGGAGGAACUACAAAUACAGAAAAGGAAGUUGAACCCCAUGUGGCUCAGACAAAGAAUCUUAAAAGGUUAAAUGUUAAGAAACAGCCCUAUUGAAGAUCAAUCAGUAACGAUGAAUCAUUUCUGAUUUUUAUAAUGGAAUUGGCUUUGCGCUGAGCUUUUCAGGAAUGUGAUAUCCAGAGAAAGGAGCAGUUGGAUCUUUUUCAUGUGGAUCUCUAUUGGCAAUGAAGGAGCACAGAUAUGUAGAUACCAAUUACCUGAGUCUAUAAUAGCAAAUGAGGUGAGCUUCUUAGUUCUUUCUCGGUCAAAGCUUGCUAUGAGUGCCAUGGUACUGCCUUCUUCUGAGGCAUCUCUGAAUUGUAGAUGUGUAAUGUUAAGUGCCACCCAGAGCUUUUUAAUGCUGUCUUCACAGCCGGCUAUUUUCAGCUUCAUUCUUCAUGUUUGUUUUAGCUCUCAGACACGUCAACAUGUUCCCCUCAGCAUUACAUAUCAUAAUAUAUCUCUGGAAGUGACAGAAAAAAAUGCUCAUCAAAGAAAUUCCCAUGCAAGAUGAUAAUGCCACAGUUUAAAAUAAAUGCUGUUGUGACUGGUUAA